rnacentral:rRNA from 1 species
UACGUAGGGGGCUAGCGUUGUCCGGAAUCAUUGGGCGUAAAGCGCGUGUAGGCGGUUCGGUAAGUCCGCUGUGAAAGUCGGGGGCUCAACCCUCGAAUGCCGGUGGAUACUGUCGGGCUAGAGUGCGGAAGAGGCGAGUGGAAUUCCUGGUGUAGCGGUGAAAUGCGCAGAUAUCAGGAGGAACACCGAUGGCGAAGGCAGCUCGCUGGGACGGUACUGACGCUGAGGCGCGAAAGCGUGGGGAGCAAACAGG